UGUGCCUGUAAUCCUUGAGAUCCGGUCAAGGAGCAUCCACCCCCGAACCUAAUCCGGGGUACCAGGAGAA
ncrna:unclassified sequences 2'dG-II riboswitch